GGCAAUUCUCAGGUGACACACCCCGGAACUGGGCUCCCUCCUCUCUGGUUCCUGGGUGUGUCACCCAAGAACCCUU
rfam:Myotis davidii contig54067, whole genome shotgun sequence.